UACAGAGGUCCCGAGCGUUGUUCGGAUUCACUGGGCGUAAAGGGUGCGUAGGUGGCUGGGAAAGUUUGAUGUGAAAGCUCAGGGCUUAACCCUGAAAUGGCAUUGAAUACUGCCUGGCUGGAGGUUUGGAGGGGGACUGGAAUUCUUGGUGUAGCAGUGAAAUGCGUAGAUAAUCAAGCGGAACACCAGUGGCGAAGGCGAGUCCCUGGACAACUCCUGACACUGAGGCACGAAAGCUAGGGGAGCAAACAGG
rnacentral:rRNA from 1 species